rnacentral:lncRNA from 1 species
GGCGUUGAUGGGAUAUAGCACUCGCUCUCUUGGUAAGUGGGCUUGGCUAAGACACUAUACCCUCUAGGGGACUGCUAUGUUUCGCUUCGACCUGAAACCUUAGCGGGUUACCACAUUGCUAGCGAAUCUUUGUAAAGGCCUCGUAGCGUCCCUAUGCAAUCACACCUCGGAAGUGUGGUAUUGUGCCUGAUCAGCACAAGCGUGGUUGGGUCUAAAGUUCUUUUGAGCUUUUACGCGACUUGUGGGUAAAGAUGUGCAACCUCUGCAGAGUGUAAAACUGAUCGAUCAGCCGUGCUCACGGUUAAGAGCGGCCUGGACCCUCACAUGAUUAAUAUACUUGAAGAUGGACUUAAAUCGUGCUUAUGGCUUAUGGUUAUGUUUCUGCCAUGUGCUUAUGGCUUAUGGUUAUGUUUCUAUUAAUUGUGGGUUGGUAUAUACUUAUACCUUAGUAAUCAGGUGCUAAUAAAAUUUGACCAACUAAAAAUGCUUAAUGCAGUCAACCAGUCAGCCUUUCCUUGUUUAAGCCUUGCAUUCAUAUUCUCCUCACACUUGCUGAGUAC